ensembl:lncRNA
GGAAAAUCCAGGAUGAGAAAUCCUGGAGGUGUUUGUGGUUGUGUGUACCCACAGAUACCGAGGCUGAGUGAGAUCCUCAGUUGUUUGUUCCCCAUCAGUGCAAGGUUAGGCUGUUCCUGCUGCUCCUGCUGCUCAGAAACCUGGCCCUAAAUCCUGCUGGCAGCUGGGCUCCCGGUGCAGGUGACCAGGUGGGGAUGGGGUGGGACGGAGCCAUCACACCUGUCCUUGUUUGUGCUCCAGUGACCUCUCAGCAGGGGAAUUUCUGCACAGGCUGACAGCACGGCGAUGGGAGAGACAUUAACCUCUGAACUCCAGCUGCUGACAGCUUCCAAACAAAUCAUCCUGGUGAAGAUCGCUUCUCCAGGCCAGGGGACUUGCUGGAGGUCUCACGGUGGUGGAAGGAGAAAAGGAAAUGAAGCCCAGCUCUUCUCACUCUGCCUGCUCUCUCCCUCCCACCUCUGAACUGUGUUUUUAACUAAUUCCACCAAUUUUUCCUUUUCCAGGAGUGAGACUCCUGCAACCCCAGGGCACGGAACCGUGAAACAGCUUUUGUCUUGGAGCUGGCGUCUCUGUUAUCAAGCCUUGCCCUGCUAUUGUCCGAGGCUGCAGGAAAAGGAAGGAGAGGAAUUCCUUCCCUGCGGUUCCUUCCUGCCCCAAGCCAGGCCUGCAGGGCUCCAGCAGCCCCCGGGACCACCAGGACGCCAACAGGAGCUCACUCGGUGCCAGGCAGAGGAGGGGAAGCUGCUAAUGGAUGCUGAUGGAGCUGUGAGGAUCCUCCCGGGGGCAGCAGGGCUGUCCCGGAGUGAGAAAAGCAGCUCGCAGCUCGCUCGCACUUCCAUGGAUGCUCCGGCUGUCGCUCUCGCACAUCCCUCGGGGUCACAGCUCCAGCAGGGGAAGAUUUGCAGCUCCAGGCAAACCACGGAGCCAGAUGUCAGGAAGGAGAACGAAGUGUUUCCAUCUUGGUCACUGGAGCUCCAUCUCAUGGUGUGUUUCAUGACCUCCUCCAUGGCUGCAGGAGGAAAUUCCCUGUGAGGGGAAGGCUCUUUCUGCACUGGUGAUUAUAGAGGGGGCUCAUUUCCCUGCUGGAGCUCAGGAGCAUCCCUUGGUGGGGUGGAACACGUUCCAGAAGCCCCCUGGAGAAGCAGCUUUUGUGCAGAGCUGAUGUCUCACUAGAGCAUCACCUCCAAGCCCUGGCACAGCUGGGACAGGACCUGUGGCACGGCUCUGGGGCUGCUCCUGAUGCCUCAGCUUUGGCUUUUAUAUUUUUCAGGUUCUGUGCUGCUUUAGUGUGUGGGUGUGGGCUUCAUAUUAUGGGAUGGUGAGCUCUGUGCACAGAGCAGGGAGACAAAACAAUUCCUGCUCCAGCUGGGCACCAAGGACAAAUGAUCCAAAUCUCAGCCCAGGAGCACAAACACCGUGGGCUGGAGAGAGAAAAACAAGGAUGGGACUGCAUGGGCUAAAGCUGGAAUUGGACAAUUAAAUCCAAUAUGCAAAUGGAGCAGAACUUAUAAAUGUGAGAGACCCCGUGAGCGGUGGGGCAUUUGUGACCAUUUUGGUGCAUUUUGGGUUCAUUUUGUGACCAUUUUGGCUUCACCUGGGGUGUAGCCCUGGCUGGGCUCUUGUGCUGCCCAGGGUGGAUCCAUUGAGACCUUUAAUAAAUCCCUGCUUUAUUCCUUAGCUCUGUCCA